CGUUGAGCUAACCAGUACUAAUUGCCCGUGAGGCUUGACCAUAUAACACCCAAACA
rnacentral:rRNA from 1 species